rnacentral:rRNA from 1 species
CGGCGGACGGGUGAGUAACACGUGGGUAACCUACCUAUAAGACUGGGAUAACUCCGGGAAACCGGGGCUAAUACCGGAUAAUAUUUUGAACCGCAUGGUUCGAUAGUGAAAGACGGUUUCGGCUGUCACUUAUAGAUGGACCCGCGCCGUAUUAGCUAGUUGGUAAGGUAACGGCUUACCAAGGCGACGAUACGUAGCCGACCUGAGAGGGUGAUCGGCCACACUGGAACUGAGACACGGUCCAGACUCCUACGG